UCCCUCUUAGCUCAGUGGUAGAGCGCAUCACUAGUAUGCUAUGAUGAGGUCAGUCGUUCAAGUCGGCUAGAGGGAA
rnacentral:tRNA from 1 species